GGUUAAGCGACUAAGCGUACACGGUGGAUGCCCUGGCAGUCAGAGGCGAUGAAGGACGUGCUAAUCUGCGAAAAGCGCCGGCGAGGUGAUAUGAACCUUUGACCCGGCGAUGUCCGAAUGGGGAAACCCAGUGUGUUCCGACACACUAUCGUUAACUGAAUACAUAGGUUAACGAGGCGAACCGGGGGAACUGAAACAUCUAAGUACCCCGAGGAAAAGAAAUCAACCGAGAUUCCCCCAGUAGCGGCGAGCGAACGGGGAGCAGCCCAGAGUCUGAAUCAGCUUGUGUGUUAGUGGAACGGUCUGGAAAGUCCGACGGUACAGGGUGAUAGUCCCGUACACGAAAAUGCACAGGCUGUGAACUCGAAGAGUAGGGCGGGACACGUGGUAUCCUGUCUGAAUAUGGGGGGACCAUCCUCCAAGGCUAAAUACUCCUGACUGACCGAUAGUG
rnacentral:rRNA from 1 species